AAGACAGGAGCCUCGUUCAAAGUUCCGCCCGGGGCCAGGCACAGCGCAGGCUCUCAGAGGAGGGCCCAGGAGUCCACAGGCUGCGGCGGCGCGAGACAAAAGUCGGAAGACAGGACCCCGCUGAGGAGUGAGGAGACAGCGGCCAACCCUCCGCCAGACCCUUCCGCCUGGUGCCUUUACUGGGCUCUGAGGAGGAAUUUGGUGGUUCAGUCGGCCCAUCCGUGGACACCAUAAAAACAAAGAGAAAACAGACACACACAGAUGCACACAUAGAUACACACAGAUACACACAGACACGGAUAUAUAGACACACACAGAUACACACACGUGGACACAGACACACACAUAGACACAGAUAUAUAGACACACACAGAUACACACACGUGGACACAAACACACACAGACAUACCCAUAGUUACGGAUAUAUGCAUGGAUACACAAUACACAGACACACAGAUGAUACAUGCAUAGACAGAUAUAUGGACACACACACACGGACACACAGAUACACACAUAGACACAUAGACAGACACAGAUACAGACACAGGCACAUGUAGACACACAUGGACAUACAAUACUCAGAUGAACACAGAGAUAAUAUACACAUAGACACAGAUCUAUAGAUACACAAAGACAUACACACAGAUAUACAUAGAUGCACACAUAGACACAGAUACACAUGUCAUCACACAUGGACACACACAGACACACACCAAUACACACAUAGACAUACGAAGACACAGGUACACAGACACGUAUACACACAGACACGCAUAUAUACAUACAGACGCAGAUAUACACACAGACACAGACAUACACACACACACAGACACAGAUAUACACAGAUACAUGGACAGAUACACAUUCACAUACACACAUAGAUACACAGAAACACACAGACACACAGACACAUAGAGACACACACACAGCCACACAGGCCCUGAGCCUCCCUGGGCCCUCCCUUGUGCAGAGGCGGAGGGGCUGGCUGUCGGGGAGGGCACCUGGAGAGGACACACAGCCCCAUCAGAGACCAGGGAGUGGCUCUGGGAGCUCUUUUCGUCCAAAGGGGCUGGAGCUCCAGUUAGCCAAGGUGAGGGCGUGGAGGAUUCCUGGGGGAAGCUUCGUGCUGCAAGGUGGAAAAGACAGAUAACAAGAGAAAAACAGAAGCUUAAUAGCAUGUAUACCUUGGUCUGCAAGGGACGGACUCGGGACAGGCUAUGUCGCAAAGGCGUGGCUUGGAGCUCAGCCUUAAAGACCAUGUUCGACGGAAACAAAGAGAAAGAGUGUGUGGGGAGGGGCCCAAGAAAUUACCCCAAACUGGGGUCAGGCCUUCUCCAUGGAUGAGCGUCUCCGGUGACUUACAGGCGGCCUUCUGGCCCAGAGAGGGGGCACCCUGGUGAGCGCAGAUGCCUG
rnacentral:lncRNA from 1 species